UACGGAGGGAGCUAGCGUUGUUCGGAAUUACUGGGCGUAAAGCGCACGUAGGCGGCUUUGUAAGUUAGAGGUGAAAGCCCGGGGCUUAACUCCGGAACUGCCUUUAAGACUGCAUCGCUAGAAUCGUGGAGAGGUGAGUGGAAUUCCGAGUGUAGAGGUGAAAUUCGUAGAUAUUCGGAAGAACACCAGUGGCGAAGGCGACUCACUGGACACGUAUUGACGCUGAGGUGCGAAAGCGUGGGGAGCAAACAGG
rnacentral:rRNA from 1 species